rnacentral:rRNA from 1 species
UACGGAGGGAGCUAGCGUUGUUCGGAUAUACUGGGCGUAAAGCGCACGUAGGCGGCGCAGCAAGUCAGGGGUGAAAUCUCAGGGCUCAACCCUGAAACUGCAUUCGAUACUGCGUGGCUAGAGUGCUGGAGAGGAGACUGGAAUUUACGGUGUAGCAGUGAAAUGCGUAGAUAUCGUAAGGAAGACCAGUGGCGAAGGCGAGUCUCUGGACAGCAACUGACGCUGAGGCACGAAGGCCAGGGGAGCAAACGGG